GUGCUCACAUGCCAGGAGAAAUAAGCUGGUGAUUUAUGUGGCACAGCACCAUCGAUCGAUCUACAAAGGAAGCUUCAGUGCAGCCGUGUUGCUAUACAGACCUCUCUCACCAAGGCAUCAUGAACUGAAGGGCUGGGAGAGGCCUCGUGGAGGAGGAAGAGUUUCGCUCAGCUUCUUGGGUGUGGGACUGAAUGUGGUUCCAGAACUGGUCGCUGCCUUCACCCGCUGACUCUGGUCUCGGCGAUGACAAGCCCAUGGAACAGACUUACGGCAUAUGACCUCAUCGGAGACUUGUACAUGGGGCCAACCCCUCAUUUUCCCACAGGAAACCCACACUCUAAUUAAGGGCUGACCCUGAACUUGAAUCUGAGUCUUCUCUUUCUUCAACAGAGAGCCAUCUCUCCAGCCCAGCUGGCAAGUAGACAGGUGAUGUUACAGGAAAAAAUACACAGCUUGUGCCCUUGGAACUACUGGAGUUCAAAGCCUGUUCAGCAUCUUCCCACCAUGUGAUCCGGGUCGAAUUCUUCAGUUUCUCUAAGCCCAUUUUCUCAUCUGUGAGAUGGGGAAGUGUAAUCAGUUCUGAACCCACAUAUACCUCACUGGGCUUGAAAAGGCCUGAGUAGGCAUGUGGGGCUUUACUAGCUAGCCAUCCUUUCUGCCGCUCUCCCUCAUUCUCCUUCAAGCCCCCCAAAGUCCUUGGUGGAGGAGGAAGUGGAGACAGAACGUUUGGUGUUGGGUGAGGUACGUGAGGAGGCUGAUUUCAGAACCUCCAGGAAACAAAGCUUUAGUGUUCCGAGGGCAGUGCCCGCCUGUGCCUCCUCCUCACAGGGGGUAGUAGGAGUGGGGUGGGGCCGAGGCAUUUCCCAGCACAGCUCAAUCACAUCUCCUGUGCCUGCCCUUGUAACCUGCUCACUGGAAAGGAAGAAAUGACCCAGGGAGAAGGGAGGGCAUUUGAGGGGAGAAGAAGAGGAUGGAGAAAAAAACUGGAUCAUCUCGUGACAUGGAAAGAAAGGUCUGAGCUCUGACGAUCCCCUCACGUGAUUAUAGGCAUGAGGACUCACUCUUCGAAUUGUUUGAAAAUUGAAUGGACUGGCUCACACCUUCUGAAAUUUCUUGGAAGCUCUGGAGUAACCAUUCCACUAAAGAACAGCGUGUUUUUGGCUGAAAUCUGUGACUGUUUGUUUUUGAGUUAUUUUAAUCUCCGUGUCAAGCAUGAAAACCUCAGCAGCCUGGGAUUUAUGAUUAGAUCCCACUGGCAUGCCCUCUCACCUCUCAAACAUGCCACAGUGCUUUGGCUCUCUCCUUGUGCAAACCUCCCUUUGAUAUUUUUGGAUAUCGAUACCAAGUGUAUCUGCAUAUUUUAACCAACUGAUAUGCAUAUCCUGUGAUCUGAGGCAUUCGCUCAAUGUGGGGCAUCAGGCCAGCUGUGAACUUCCUUUAAAAUUUACUUUGUGUCAAAUGAUUCCCUAAUGCUAUAGCUCCCUUGAACUGCUAGAUUUAUGAAAAUUCUGCACAACACAUAGCACAGAGAAAAAAAAAAAAGAGUGUUGCAAGACCAGAUAUAGGAUAUCAUUUGAUUUGUUUAAAACACUCUGUCCAAGGGGUUUUGACUUGCUAAUUUAAAAAUAAUUCUAAAAUUAGGUACAGUUGACCCUUAGUAUCCAUGGGGGAUUGGUUCCAGGAUGCCCUGUGGAUACCAGAAUCCAAGGAUGCUCAAGUCCCUGACAUAAAUGGCUUAGUGUUUGCAUAUAACCUACUCCCCUCUUCUUAUAUACUUUAAAUAAUCUCUAGAUUACUUAUAAUGCCUAACACAACGCCUUUGCAUCACUUCAUUUAUGUGGAUUCAAUGUAGUACUUGGUGUGAAGAAAAUUUAAGUCUUGCUUUUUGGAACUUUGUGGAUUUUUUUUUCUGGAAUGUUUUUGAUCUGCAGUUAGUUGAAUCCACAGGUGCAGAACUAUGGACACAGGGGGCUGACUAUGUAUAUUUAUAUCCACUUGCAAAAUUAAGAAUAAAAAUAAUAUGCAUCAGCAGGUGCAGAUUCUGAUGCUCGGUGGACAGUAUGAAGUCUUCCAUUUUUAAGGAAGUCUCAGGCGAUGCUGCUGUUGCAGUCCUGUCCAAUAGAAUGUUCUGUGAUGGUGGAAAGAUUCUCUAUCGGCUCUGUCCAAUACCUAAGCCACACCUUUCACACAUGGGGGAGUGGGAUGGGCAAUGGAAGAGCCCAGGCAGGGUAGGGAGGGGGUAGAAGGAAGGACAGCAGAACAGCUAGGCUCACUAAGAUCCUUAACAUUUAUUUAGUGCCUGUAAUGGGCAAGGCAGUGUGCUGGGUGCUUUACACCUGUUCAGCCACAUUCUUACAUCAGCUUGUGCAGAGCAUUUACUCUUCCUGGAACAAUCCUCGGGGCAGCGGGUACAACAAUGUAAAAAGAUCCAGUCCUUGCUGCUGGGAAAUUUAUAGACACGUUAACUGAAACUGUGGAGUAGGAUGAAGUUUCUGAGAGAGGAGUCCGCAUUUUUACCCUGGCCCUUCUAUUUCCUCUGCAACAUUAAGCAAGGUGCUUCAUUGCUCUCAGUUUCGAUUUCUUUGUUUCUAAAAUGGAGUUAAUCAUAGUACCUACUGUUGGCUUCUUGGGAGAUUAUAUGACGGGACACAUUGUAAAGGUUCAGGACAGUGUCUGGCACCCAGCAAGCUCUCUGAAAAGACCAGCGCCUAUGAUGGUGUUGGUCCUACCCGUGAAGACAAGUGUGUGCUGGCACCAAGAACUCUGAUCCAAGUGCCAUAGUUAAUUUUGAAAUACCUAAUAAGCCUCAACUAUGUGCAAUACUUUAAAUGGUGGAGACGGGAGGAUCGUGACAAAGGGGAAUAAAAUGCAAGACCUCAAGAAACUUAGUUUAGAAAGGGACUCAGAGUGCUUGGUGGUUUAAUGGAGUUCUCUCAGUUACUGGGGAUCUGGGAAGACUUCAUGGAAGAGGUGGUGUGUGAGCUGCCCCCAAAAAGCAGAUAGAGGAAGAGUGCAAAACUCCAUAAGCAGAGGCAAAGGGCCUUCUGGGUAGAGGAGGCUCUGGAAGCCACAGUGAGGACUAGAGGAAUUGAGGUCUUUUUGGAAAUAUUAAAUAUUCCAGUUUUCCUGGAGCACAGGACAGGGGUUGUUGGGGAGCACAGGAGAAAAGAUUGAAAAAGUAGAUUAAGGUUAGGCUGCAGAAGGCAUUGAUGCCAGGCUGUUGAGUUUAUAUGUGAAUUUGUGGGCAACGAGGGGCUUCUGAAGUUAUUUUUCCUCUGCAAUUUUCAUUUAUUUUCACCUGAAAUGUAAUAUGCUCAUUUUAAAUUUAAUUGUAAAUGCAGAGGUCUAUGAAUAGUUAAAAACUCUUGAAGAAGACAAAGUGAGAGAAGUUCCAAAUAAGGUGUAAGAAAUGAAAGGGCUUUGCGCAGUGGCUUACGCCUGUAAUCCCAGCACUUUGGGAGGCCAAGGUGGGCAGAUCACCUGAGGUCAGGAGUUCCAGACCAGCCUGGCCAACACAGCAAAACCCCAUCUCUACUAAAAAUAUAAAUAUUAGCCAGGCACAGUGGCACACGUCUGUAGUGCCAGCUACUCGGGAGGCUGAGGCAGGAGAAUCCCUUGAGCCUGGGAGGCAGAGGUUUCAGUGAGCCAAGAUCACGGCACUGCACUCCAGCCUGGGGGACAGAGCGAGAUUGUAUCUUAAAAAAAAAAAAAAGUAUUAGAAUUAAGACACCAUGAUAAUGGUACAGAGUUAGAAAAACUGAUCAGUGGAACAGAAUAGAGAGCCAUGAAUCUACUCAAAAAAGGAGAAAAUUUGAUACACGAGAGAGGGUUGAUAUUGCAAUUGUUUUUAUCACCAUAUAUAUGCAUAUUUAUAUUAAAUACAUAUGUAACUUUUAAAAUAACAUCUCAAUUUUAGAAUAGAUUUACAAAACCAUUGCAAAAAUAGUACAGAGAGUUCCCAUAUACCCACUGAUAUGGUUUGGCUGUGUCCCCACCCAAAUCUCAUCUUGAACUGUAGCUCCCAUAAUUCCCGCAUGUUGUGGGAGUGACCCAGUAGGAGAUAAUUGAAUCAUGGGGGUGGUUUCCCCCAUACUGUCCUCCUGGUAGUGAAUAAGUCUCUGAUGGUUUUGUAAGGGGUUUUCUCUUCCGCUUAGCUCUCAUUUUCUCUUGCUGCCGCCAUGUAAGACAUGACCUUGCUCCUCCUUUGCCUUCCACCAUGACUGUGAGGCCUCCCCAGCCACAUGGAACUGUGAGUCCAUUAAACCUUGUUUUCUUU